rnacentral:rRNA from 1 species
GGUGUAGGUGGCUUUGUAAGUCAGAUGUGAAAGCCCACGGGCUUAACCCCUGGAAGUGCAUUUGAUACUGCGAAGCUUGAGUGGCCGGAGAGGUUAUUGGAAUUCCUGGUGUAGUGGUGAAAUACGUAGAUAUCAGGAGGAAUACCAGAGGCGAAGGCGGAUAACUGGCCGGACACUGACACUCAGACCCGAAAGCGUGGGGAUCAAACA